rnacentral:piRNA from 1 species
GCCAUGUCUCUCUUCUCUGUAGAUUCAAGU